ACGCUCGACACCUACGGGGGGCAGCAGUGGGGAAUAUUGCACAAUGGGGGAAACCCUGAUGCAGCGACGCCGCGUGGAGGAAGAAGGUCUUCGGAUUGUAAACUCCUGUUGUUGGGGAAAAAGAGGAUGGUACCCAACAAGGAAGUGACGGCUAACUACGUGCCAGCAGCCGCGGUAAUCUGAGGCGGGCUGGCAAGGC
rnacentral:rRNA from 1 species